rnacentral:piRNA from 1 species
UGAUUUGCAGUUUGAAUCCGCUACUC